CCUACGGGUGGCAGCAGUGGGGGAUAUUGCACAAUGGGGGAAACCCUGAUGCAGCGACGCCGCGUGGGUGAAGAAGUAUUUCGGUAUGUAAAGCCCUAUCAGCAGGGAAGAAAGAAGACGGUACCUGACUAAGAAGCCCCGGCUAACUACGUUCCAGCAGCCGCGGUAAUACGUAGGGGGCGAGCGUUAUCCGGAUUCACUGGGUGUAAAGGGGGCGUAGACGGCCGUGCAAGCCAGGAGUGAAAGCCCGGGGCCCAACCCCGGGACUGCUCUUGGAACUGUGCGGCUGGAGUGCGGGAGGGGCAGGCGGAAUUCCAGGUGUAGAGGUGAAAUGCGUAGAUAUCAGGAGGAACACCGGCGGCGAAGGCGGCCUGCUGGACCGCGACUGACGUUGAGGCUCGAAAGCGUGGGGAGCGAACAGGAUUAGAUACCCGAGUAGUC
rnacentral:rRNA from 1 species